UACGGGGGGGGCAAGCGUUGUUCGGAAUUACUGGGCGUAAAGGGCUCGUAGGCGGCCAACUAAGUCGGAUGUGAAAUCCCCAGGCUUAACCUGGGAACUGCAUCCGAUACUGGAUGGCUUGAAUCCGGGAGAGGUAUGCGGAAUUCCAGGUGUAGCGGUGAAAUGCGUAGAUAUCUGGAGGAACACCGGUGGCGAAGGCGGCAUCCUGGACCGGCAUUGACGCUGAGGAGCGAAAGCCAGGGGAGCAAACGGG
rnacentral:rRNA from 1 species